GGCGUGCCUAAUACAUGCAAGUCGAACGCAUCACUUCGGUGAUGAGUGGCGAACGGGUGAGUAAUACAUAAGUAACCUGCCCUCUUGAGGGGGAUAACUAUUGGAAACGAUAGCUAAGACCGCAUAGGCAUGGACAUCGCAUGAUGACCAUGUUAAAUAUCCCACGGGAUAGCGAGAGGAUGGACUUAUGGCGCAUUAGCUAGUUGGUGAGGUAGAGGCUCACCAAGGCGACGAUGCGUAGCCGGCCUGAGAGGGCGGACGGCCACACUGGGACUGAGACACGGCCCAGACUCCUACGGGAGGCAGCAGUAGGGAAUUUUCGGCAAUGGGCGAAAGCCUGACCGAGCAACGCCGCGUGAGGGAGGAAGUAUUUCGGUAUGUAAACCUCUGUUAUAAAGGAAGAACGCUGGAUGUAGGGAAUGACAUGCAGGUGACGGUACUUUAUGAGAAAGCCACGGCUAACUACGUGCCAGCAGCCGCGGUAAUACGUAGGUGGCGAGCGUUAUCCGGAAUCAUUGGGCGUAAAGAGGGAGCAGGCGGCAAUAGAGGUCUGCGGUGAAAGCCUGAAGCUAAACUUCAGUAAGCCGUGGAAACCAAAUAGCUAGAGUGCAGUAGAGGAUCGUGGAAUUCCAUGUGUAGCGGUGAAAUGCGUAGAUAUAUGGAGGAACACCAGUGGCGAAGGCGACGAUCUGGGCUGCAACUGACGCUCAGUCCCGAAAGCGUGGGGAGCAAAUAGGAUUAGAUACCCUAGUAGUCCACGCCGUAAACGAUAAGUAGUAAGUGUUGGGGGUCAGACCUCAGUGCUGCAG
rnacentral:rRNA from 1 species